rnacentral:rRNA from 1 species
AUUAGUGGCGAACGGGUGAGUAACACGUGGGUGAUCUGCCCUGCACUUCGGGAUAAGCCUGGGAAACUGGGUCUAAUACCGGAUAGGACGAUGGUUUGGAUGCCAUUGUGGAAAGUUUUUCGGUGUGGGAUGAGCUCGCGGCCUAUCAGCUUGUUGGUGGGGUAAUGGCCUACCAAGGCGUCGACGGGUAGCCGGCCUGAGAGGGUGUACGGCCACAUUGGGACUGAGAUACGGCCCAG